rnacentral:rRNA from 1 species
AGCAGCAGCCACGGUAAUACAGAGGGUGCGAGCGUUAAUCGGAUUUACUGGGCGUAAAGCGUGCGUAGGCGGCUAAUUGAGUCGGAUGUGAAAUCCCCGAGCUUAACUUGGGAAUUGCAUUCGAUACUGGUUAGCUAGAGUGUGGGAGAGGAUGGUAGAAUUCCAGGUGUAGCGGUGAAAUGCGUAGAGAUCUGGAGGAAUACCGAUGGCGAAGGCAGCCAUCUGGCCUAACACUGACGCUGAGGUACGAAAGCAUGGGGAGCAAACAGGAUUAGAUACCCCUGUAGUCCCUGUCUCUUAUAC